UACGGAAGGCAGCAGUGGGGAAUAUUGCACAAUGGGCGCAAGCCUGAUGCAGCCAUGCCGCGUGUAUGAAAAAGGCCUUCGGGUUGUAAAGUACUUUCAGUCGUGAGGAAGGUGUUAAGGUUAAUAACCUUAGCAAUUGACGUUAGCGACAGAAGAAGCACCGGCUAACUCCGUGCCAGCAGCCGCGGUAAUACGGAGGGUGCGAGCGUUAAUCGGAAUUACUGGGCGUAAAGGGCACGCAGGCGGUUAAUUAAGUUGGAUGUGAAAUCCCCGGGCUUAACCUGGGAAUGGCAUUCAAGACUGGUUAGCUAGAGUCUUGUAGAGGGGGGUUAGAAUUCCAUGUGUAGCGGUGAAAUGCGUAGAGAUGUGGAGGAAUACCGGUGGCGAAGGCGGCCCCUGGACAAAGACUGACGCUCAUGUGCGAAAGCGUGGGGAGCAAACAGGGAUUAGAUACC
rnacentral:rRNA from 1 species